UACGUAGGGGGCAAGCGUUGUCCGGAAUCAUUGGGCGUAAAGGGCGCGCAGGCGGCGGACCAAGUCAGGCGUGAAAGCCCCGGGCUUAACCUGGGAGGUGCGUCUGGGACUGGUACGCUAGAGUUCGGGAGAGGAGAGUGGAAUUCCCAGUGUAGAGGUGAAAUUCGUAGAUAUUGGGAAGAACACCGGUGGCGAAGGCGGCUCUCUGGACCGAGACUGACGCUGAGGCUCGAAAGCGUGGGGAGCAAACAGG
rnacentral:rRNA from 1 species